rnacentral:rRNA from 1 species
UAAGGUGACUGCCGGUGACAAACCGGAGGAAGGUGGGGAUGACGUCAAAUCAUCAUGCCCCUUAUGACCUGGGCUACACACGUGCUACAAUGGGCAGAACAAAGGGCAGCGAAACCGCGAGGUUAAGCCAAUCCCACAAAUCUGUUCUCAGUUCGGAUCGCAGGCUGCAACUCGACUGCGUGAAGCUGGAAUCGCUAGUAAUCGCGGAUCAGCAUGCCGCGGUGAAUACGUUCCCGGGCCUUGUACACACCGCCCGUCACACCACGAGAGUUUGUAACACCCGAAGUCGGUGAGGUAACCUUUAUGGAGCCAGCCGCCGAAGGUGGGACAGAUGAUUGGGGUGAAGUCGU